rnacentral:rRNA from 1 species
GUAGAUGAUUUAUUAAUUUUAUUAGAGGGUAUAGCACUGAAUAUCUAAUAAAUAAAAUUAUUAGAAGGGAGUAUGAGAAUACUUACUUUAGAUAUUUAAUCUCAGAAUAACUAAUAAAUGAAAUAAGUUAUCAGACUUUUUGCGAUAAGGU